rnacentral:rRNA from 1 species
AUACAGAGGGUGCAAGCGUUAAUCGGAUUUACUGGGCGUAAAGCGCGCGUAGGUGGCUAAUUAAGUCAAAUGUGAAAUCCCCGAGCUUAACUUGGGAAUUGCAUUCGAUACUGGUUAGCUAGAGUAUGGGAGAGGAUGGUAGAAUUCCAGGUGUAGCGGUGAAAUGCGUAGAGAUCUGGAGGAAUACCGAUGGCGAAGGCAGCCAUAUGGCCUAAUACUGACACUGAGGUGCGAAAGCAUGGGGAGCAAACAGGAUUAUAUACCCUGGUAGUCCAUGCCGUAAACGAUGUCUACUAGCCGUUGGGGCCCUUGAGGCUUUAGUGGCGCAGCUAACGCGAUAAGUAGACCGCCUGGGGAGUACGGUCGCAAGACUAAAACUCAAAUGAAUUGACGGGG